UACAGAGGGGGCAAGCGUUGUUCGGAAUUACUGGGCGUAAAGGGCGCGUAGGCGGCCUGUUAAGUCGAACGUGAAAUCCCCGGGCUCAACCCGGGAACUGCGUCCGAUACUGGCAGGCUUGAAUCCGGGAGAGGGAUGCGGAAUUCCAGGUGUAGCGGUGAAAUGCGUAGAUAUCUGGAGGAACACCGGUGGCGGAAGGCGGCAUCCUGGACCGGCAUUGACGCGUGAGGCGCGAAAGCCAGGGGAGCGAACGGG
rnacentral:rRNA from 1 species